rnacentral:rRNA from 1 species
GAUGAACGCUGGCGGCGUGCCUAAUACAUGCAAGUCGAGCGAACAGACGAGGAGCUGCUCCUCUGACGUUAGCGGCGGACGGGUGAGUAACACGUGGAUAACCUACCUAUAAGACUGGGAUAACUUCGGGAAACCGGAGCUAAUACCGGAUAAUAUAUUGAACCGCAUGGUUCAAUAGUGAAAGACGGUUUUGCUGUCACUUAUAGAUGGAUCCGCGCCGCAUUAGCUAGUUGGUAAGGUAACGGCUUACCAAGGCAACGAUGCGUAGCCGACCUGAGAGGGUGAUCGGCCACACUGGAACUGAGACACGGUCCAGACUCCUACGGGAGGCAGCAGUAGGGAAUCUUCCGCAAUGGGCGAAAGCCUGACGGAGCAACGCCGCGUGAGUGAUGAAGGUCUUCGGAUCGUAAAACUCUGUUAUUAGGGAAGAACAAAUGUGUAAGUAACUAUGCACGUCUUGACGGUACCUAAUCAGAAAGCCACGGCUAACUACGUG